rnacentral:rRNA from 1 species
AACGAACGCUGGCGGCAUGCUUAACACAUGCAAGUCGCACGAGAAGUAAUUCUAGUGUCGCACGGGUGAGUAACACGUGGGAAUCUACCCUAAAGUCGUGGAUAACUAUUGGAAACGGUAGCUAAUACAGGAUGUGCUGGAGACAGUAAAGUAGCAAUACGCUUUAGGAUGAGCCCGCGGUCGAUUAGCUAGUUGGUGAGGUAAGAGCUUACCAAGGCGAUGAUCGAUAGCUGUUCUGAGAGGAAGAGCAGCCACACUGGGACUGAGACACGGCCCAGACUCCUGCGGGAGGCAGCAGUGGGGAAUUUUGGACAAUGGGGGCAACCCUGAUCCAGCAAUGCCGCGUGAGUGAAGAAGGCCUUAGGGUUGUAAAGCUCUUUUACCGAUGAAGAUGAUGACGGUAGUCGGAGAAUAAGUUCCGGCAAACUUCGUGCCAGCAGCCGC